rnacentral:rRNA from 1 species
UACGUAGGGUGCGAGCGUUGUCCGGAAUUAUUGGGCGUAAAGGGCUCGUAGGCGGUUUGUCGCGUCGGGAGUGAAAUCAUCUGGCUUAACUGGGUGCUUGCUUUCGAUACGGGCAGACUAGAGGUAUGCAGGGGAGAACGGAAUUCCUGGUGUAGCGGUGAAAUGCGCAGAUAUCAGGAGGAACACCGGUGGCGAAGGCGAGUCCCUGGACAACACCUGACACUGAGGCACGAAAGCUAGGGGAGCAAACAGG